rnacentral:rRNA from 1 species
UACGUAGGGCGCAAGCGUUGUCCGGAAUUAUUGGGCGUAAAGAGCUCGUAGGCGGCUUGUCACGUCGGGUGUGAAAGCCCGGGGCUUAACCCCGGGUCUGCAUUCGAUACGGGCUAGCUAGAGUGUGGUAGGGGAGAUCGGAAUUCCUGGUGUAGCGGUGAAAUGCGCAGAUAUCGGGAAGAACACCCGUGGCGAAGGCGGCUCUCUGGGACGGUACUGACGCUGAGACGCGAAAGCGUGGGGAGCAAACAGG